rnacentral:lncRNA from 1 species
GGGCUAGUUGAGCUCACCCUUUGAUUUCGUUGUUCUCUUCAGGAAAUGAGAAUAUAGUUGGGACUAGUCGGGGAAUGGAGUGACGGUCCAGAUGGUUGCUUUAGUAGUCCUCACUAUUCUGUGAAAGUGUAAUAAUAAGUGUAAUGAGUACUUCAUUUGAGUUUGGAUAUUGUCUACGAGACAAUAUUCGUAUUAAAAUCUCAGUUUACGUUUAUCGUAUUGUGUAAAUUAAGUUUGUAUUUGAAUUCUGUACUAUGUAUUUGGCGACUCAGAUUGGGUGAUGUAUACCUAUUUUGGGGGCGACACACAAAUUGUCAAC